UCUACGUAGUUUGAGCUCAAUGUUUUCAUAGCCACCUAACGCCAUAGCUUUCCUAUGGCGUCAUGGGCGAGAGGCUGCACUGUGGAACCAAAACUCUUGGGAUUCAAAAAAUGUUUCCCCACAAGCGCCAUGGAUGGCACAGAGAAUGACAUGCUGUGGGAGCAAAAUAGGAUCACUGUUCAUGAAUUCAGGAGGCACCAGAACUGGACCAAGUCACCAAAGAGUCAAGCUUUUAAACCUGACAUUUGGUCCUUUGACCCGGAUCCCAACACACCACCGCCCAUCGAGGAGGGAGAACACACACAAGUCUGUCGACAGCCAGGAGCAUUUAGCUGUUCCUGAAGAAAAGCCCUGGUGAGACGUGAAUUCGCGGCCAGGCCGUUGUUAGAGUCCAAUCUCUCCUCGGUGGACGAAGGUUGACGGGAUCACGAACAACUGGCGUCCAGACAACGCGUGAACCGGUGCUGUUGGUGUCCAUUGGUGAUUGGGUCCUUAGAAAAAUCAUCAAGAGGAAGUGUUGGUCCUCACCUCGCUGGGAUGGUCCACUCCCAUGGUGAUAAAGAUAGCAGAAUGUCCCACAUGGAUACACUUGUCC